rnacentral:lncRNA from 1 species
GGUUUUUAGAAAUAGUUUGUGGUAACACAAGAAAAAAUCCCUCAUGAAUUUGUCUUCAGUCUGAGACCUUCCUAAGUCCACUGCCAUUAUGACUAGGCUUAUUGACUCCCUGCAUGAUUUCUCCUAUUCUCUUGUCUCUUCUGAACCUUAAAUAUACACUUUUAAAUAUAUAUUUGUUUCAAGAUGAAUAGAAACUUGAACAUGCCUCAUCAUCUACAGCAAGCAAAGAUGCUUUACAGUGCAGCUGCGCACGUUACAGACGUGUGAGUGCAUGCACACACACACCAUGGGAAGGCAGAGCUUGUGCUGUGUUUGAUGCAGUGGGCACAGCAGUACAGUAAAACAGCCUCACUUUUGCAGUUUGCAUUCCUUCAGUGGUUUGUUGGCAUAGUUUAUGACAGCUAUUUAUAUUCAUUUCAAGCCUGGGGGAAGAACAAAGCUUGAAAGAUGGUUGCUGGAAACCCUGUUGCUGUACUGUGACUUCAAAGCUGCUGCCAUGGCUGCAUGUGUGGAAAGCUAUCAUUUACUUGGCACGGGCAAAAUUUUCGUAUGGUACACACAUGGACAGAAAUUCCAAAACCUUAAACCAAAGAACUUUUCAUUUAAUGGAAAACUUGGAAAAAGAUCUUCUCAGCCUCUGCAGCAGUGUUAUGGAAAGAGACUGAGGCUACCAGCCCUUCCCAAACCAAUGAUCCCAGAAUCUCUGGAGGAAUUUGUGAAUUUGAAGAUCUAUUUCAGCUUCAUUGUUCCCCUGCCAUUUGAAUUACUGGCCCAGAAACAUAUAAUUCAAACAGAAUUCAACUGAGAAGUGCACUAUAAAUAAUAUUCUCACCAUACAGAAAAAUCCCGUACUCAGAGGAGGGAGUGAUGAUCAUCUUGACAGUGCCAGCUGGAAGCAAUGUCAUGUACAGGAUGUAAGCAGCUAUCUAACACCCUAGGUUCUGAGCUGGAGGAGAGAUUUUUAUCUGUAGGAAUUCUCAAAGAACACGGUUACUAAAUGUUCAAACUCUCUCUGUGUUCCCUUAGGCCCAUCUCUAAUACAGGCCCAGCUGCUGAAAUGGAGAGAAGGCAAAGCACAAGGAAGAUGUAACUGGCAGGAGCAGAAUGGUAACUGCAGCAGUGAGGAGGUGCUGUGGGGUUAUUAAAGCUAAACUACAACAUGUGCCGACGUCAGAUGGAGCAAUCUGCCUCCUGCAGCAUCCUAGAAAUAUGCAUAAACAUAGAUGCCUUUCUGAGGACACUAAAAAAAACCACUUGGCUUAGUGAAAGCAAACGCAUUACAUCAGAAAAAAUUAUGUUACACUAAGAUUGUUACACUCUAUGCAAGAUUGUACAUAGCAGCUGAUUCUGCAAAAAAGUAAUAAAAAACUAGAUUUACAAGACUUUUGGCCUAUU